rnacentral:rRNA from 1 species
AUUGAACGCUGGCGGCAGGCCUAACACAUGCAAGUCGAACGGUAACAGGAAGAAGCUUGCUUCUUUGCUGACGAGUGGCGGACGGGUGAGUAAUGUCUGUGAAACUGCCUGAUGGAGGGGGAUAACUACUGGAAACGGUAGCUAAUACCGCAUAACUUCUCAAGACCAAAGAGGGGGACCUUCGGGCCUCUUGCCAUCCGCUUUGCCCAGAUGGGAUUAGCUAGUAGGUGGGGUAACGGCUCACCUAGGCGACGAUCCCUAGCUGGUCUGAGAGGAUGACCAGCCACACUGGAACUGAGACACGGUCCAGACUCCUACGGGAGGCAGCAGUGGGGAAUAUUGCACAAUGGGCGCAAGCCUGAUGCAGCCAUGCCGCGUGUAUGAAGAAGGCCUUCGGGUUGUAAAGUACUUUCAGCGGGGAGGAAGGGAGUAAAGUGAAUCCAUUUGCUCAUUGACGUUACCCGCAGAAGAAGCAACGGCUAACUCCGUG